GGAUGCGAUCAUACCAGCACUAAAACACCGGAUCCCAUCAGAACUCUGAAGUUAAGCGUGCUUGGGCGAGAGUAGUACUAGGAUGGGUGACCUCUUGGGAAGUCCUCGUGUUGCAUUCC
rnacentral:rRNA from 1 species